rnacentral:rRNA from 1 species
AUUGAACGCUGGCGGCAGGCCUAACACAUGCAAGUCGAGCGAGCGGCGGACGGGUGAGUAAUGUCUGGGAAACUGCCUGAUGGAGGGGGAUAACUACUGGAAACGGUAGCUAAUACCGCAUACCAUCAGAUGUGCCCAGAGGGGCUUAGCUAGUAGGUGGGGUAACGGCUCACCUAGGCGACGAUCCCUAGCUGGUCUGAGAGGAUGACCAGCCACACGGGAACUUAGGCACGGGCCAGACUCCUGCGGGAGUCAGCAGUGGGGAAUAGUGCACAAUGGGCGCAAGCCGGAUGCAGCCAUGCCGCUUGUGUGGAGAAGGCCUGCGGGUUGUAAAGCACUUUCAGCGGUGAGGCGUUACCCGCAGAAGAAGCACCGGCUAACUCCGUGCCAGCAGCCGCGGUAAUAC